UAUGAGAAAACAUUUGGCAGUUUUUCAGGGACUGUGGAGCCAGGGAGAGAUGCCAGAAGACUAUAGAUUGGUACACACUGUUCCAAUUUUUGAAAAGGAAAAGAAAGUUGAUUCGGCAAACUAUACAUGCCAGUCCCGGGCAAAGUUCUUGAAGGGAAAUUUGUGAACAUGAAAGAGGGGAAGGAAGUAAUUAUGGGUACCAGCAAGUUUUCACUGAGAAGAAAUUAUUCCAGAUGAAACUCACUUCCUUUUUUUGCGAAGAUUUCCCUUAGUGAAAAACAAGUUCCUGAACUGCAGAAUUCAACUCAGGUCGUCGUUGGCAGGCUGACCCAGACUUGCUGAGGACUCAACAAGAUUGGCUGUCAGGAGAGGAGUUUCCUUGGCCAGUCACCCUAAAUCCACUGGCAAGGAGAGGGCAGGGAGAGAGGCACACCAGAACCCC